rnacentral:rRNA from 1 species
UACGAAGGGGGCGAGCGUUGUUCGGAAUUACUGGGCGUAAAGCGUACGUAGGCGGAUUGUUAAGUCGGGGGUGAAAUCCUGGAGCUCAACUCCAGAACUGCCUUCGAUACUGGCGAUCUCGAGUUCGGGAGAGGUGAGUGGAACUGCGAGUGUAGAGGUGAAAUUCGUAGAUAUUCGCAAGAACACCAGUGGCGAAGGCGGCUCACUGGCCCGAUACUGACGCUGAGGUGCGAAAGCGUGGGGAGCAAACAGG